UCACAUAAGAAGUAUUACUAGAACUGCAUUUUAUCAUCUACGGAACAUAGCCAAGCUUCGUAAGAUGCUCUCACUUAAUGAUGCAGAAAAACUAAAACAUGCCUUCGUAAGUUCCAGACUGGAUUACUGUAAUGCCCUCCUAUCGGGUUGCCCGUCUGGAUCCUUGCAUAAACUUCAGAUGGUACAGAAUGCUGCAGCCAGAGUUCUAACAAACACUAAAAAAUUUGAUCAUAUUACACCGGUCUUAUCCUCUCUUCAUUGGCUGCCAGUUAAGUCUCGAAUUGACUAUAAAAUACUGCUAUUAACUUAUAAAGCACUAAAUGGCCUUGCACCAGAAUACCUUAGUAAACUGCUGACCACAUACAACCCUCCACGCUUGCUUCGCUCUCAAGCCAUGGGAUAUCUGUUAGUGCCUAGGGUAGAAAGAGCUACGGCAGGCUGCAGAGCUUUCUCCUACAAAGCUCCUCUGCUGUGGAAUGGUCUUCCACCGGAUGUGCGGGUUUCAGGUUCACUCUCAAUAUUCAAGUCCAGACUAAAAACACACCUGUUUAGUUUAGCGUAUAGGGACACUAGUUCUAGCCCUAGCUAACUCUUCACUCCCAGUCAGACCUGUAGUGUGAGGUGUAGAGCUGGGUGGGGAUCGGUGCCAUUGACUUUGGAUGAACUGGAUUGUCAGUGCUGUCACUCUAGCUUUGCAAUCUCUUGUGGAACUGGAGUGCUGACAUUUCAGGGACUCCCCAUGCCGGCAUUCCCACUUGCCUCUCCCUCCUACUGAUGCUGCCAUAGCCAUAUCUGCCGGAGCUUGCAGAUUGCACUUCAUAUUGUACUCACCUAGCUUUUAGCACUGCCAAUAGCCUCCUCUACUAUGCCUAAUUGUACAUUUUAUUUCCCCUACUCCUCCUGGGGGGUGAUGCCUGGAGACCUCAAUCUAUCAAGAUAUCCAGCACACCCGACCACCACCAGUGACGUCCCUGCAUCCAGCUCGCCGUUCUGAUCUUCCAUACAAGAUUGUAAAAUUAUGACUCUCCUCACUGGAUGGAUCGACUCACCUCCGAAUUAAGUUAACUUUAUGAUGGAUCAGAGAGCAAACAGCUUUCUGGUGGUCGUCUUCUCAGUACACUACAGGAAGUGUGCUUCAGACCCCACAGCCCACAAGGUGAGAGGAGGCUUGAAGGCAAAGAGCAGCCACCCAUAGCAGCAUCCAGGGUUAUGGGUCUUGCUGAAGGACCUGCAGAUGUGGCAAAGCCAGGCUCAAAGCGGAGGCUAAGACCACUGAGGCACACCCCACCCCCAAAAAAGCACUUAACCUGUAUGACCGGAGUUGUGACACUUGCAUGGCAGAAGGAGCGAAGCUGGUCUGAAGGUGUCCAUUGGCUCUAACUUUAGGUGUUAAUGUUAAUGUGGUGUUUUCAUUAUCUCUAAUAUGAAUAUAUUCAUGUAUUUCAAACCCUUUGAAGGGAAAGGAACCUGAUAAGAAUUGUAAUGUUCUUUGCCAGUUAAAUUAUUCAUUAUAAAAUGUAGCUGUCAUGACACUUGAGUAAAUGUGACAAGAGCAUAUGAAGUAUAUACAGGCAUAACGGGACACAUUAAAUGGAUUGU